GACGAACGCUGGCGGCGUGCCUAAUACAUGCAAGUUGAGCGCUGAAGGAUGGUACUUGUACCAACUGGAUGAGCAGCGAACGGGUGAGUAACGCGUGGGGAAGCUGCCUUUGAGCGGGGGACAACAUUUGGAAACGAAUGCUAAUACCGCAUAAAAACUUUAAACACAAGAUUUAAGUUUGAAAGAUGCAAUUGCCUCACUCAAAGAUGAUCCCGCGUUGUAUUAGCUUGGUGGUGAGGUAAAGGCUCAACAAGGCGAUGAUACAUAGCCGAGCUGAGAGGGAGAAUCGGCAACAUGGGACUGAGACAAGGCCCAAACUCCUACGGGAGGGAGCAGGAGGGGAUCAUCGGAAAUGGACGAAAGGCUGACCGAGCAACGCCGGGGGGGUGAAGGAGGGUCUCGGGUUGUAAAACUCGGUUGGUAGAGAAGGACGAUGGUGAGAGUAGAAAGCUGAUGAAGUGACGGUAACUACAGAGAAAGGGACGGCUAACUACGUG
rnacentral:rRNA from 1 species